GGAGAGAUGACCGAGAGGCCGAAGGUGCUCGCCUGCUAAGCGAGUGUACGCCUAACCGUGUACCGAGGGUUCGAAUCCCUCUCUCUCCGCCA
rnacentral:tRNA from 1 species